AAUAAUGAAAAUAGAAAAGAGGGAUUAGGUUUGUUACUUGUGACCUCUGGUUUUUCAUCGAAGCUUUUUCCCCUCUCCUCACAAUGAAAAUCGGCGGCGACGGCGUCAGCCUUCUCUGAUCAGAAAAAACUCACAGCGCCGCCGUGAAACGUCCGGCCACGUCCUCCUCUCAUUACAUCUCCUCGCCUUGAUCUCACCUCUCGAUUCUCCUUUCAUUUUAAUCCGAUCUCUCUCUCAAUUUUAGACACCGGUACACCGGUCACAUCAUCUUCUCCGACGGUGCUUCGUGACUUCGAGCAUGAUUCGUCGUGUCUGCUGAUGUGGUAAGGUACUAAGAUGAAGAUCGAACAGAGAUGAUGAUGGAGUGUUGAAGAUUGGUGAUAUGCUCUUCGCGGCAGAAAAUUGUUACGACAAAGAUUGAAGUUCAUGUACGCUUGUUGAAGAGAGUAUGUUGAAGAGAGUAUGAAGAUGUUGUCAGAUUUGUUCAACUGAAGAGAGUGCGAUUGUUGAUGACGAUUAUCUCAAAUUUUGGUGUGAUGAACGUUGUCGAAGUUAUGAUGUUACGUUGCAGAAUUUGCGAACAAACUGAGAUUGAAGAGGUUGAAUCUUCUGCAGAAUCGGUGAAGGUCGAUGAAGAGGUUCUUAAGGUGAAGAACGAUGAACGGAGGGAUCUUUCUUCUGUUUUUACGUGAAGAUGAUGAUUAUCUGAUUUAACAGGCUGCGUGAUGAAGAUGAAGAUGAAGAUCGUUGAUAAUAUGCGUCGUGACGUGAAGUUGAGGCGAUGAUGAUGAUGAUGUGAUGAAGGUUGAAGUCUGAAUUCCAGAAGAUUUUUGGGAGAGUGUGGAGAAGAUGAAGAAGAUUCGAGAAAAGCUUGUUACGUUUCGGUAGAGUUUGCGAUACGAAACCAGUUUUGACUGUGGUUCAAUUUUUUGUUAUGCAAACAUCUGUAGGUUCGGUUUAUGCAAGGAUUGGUUUUGGAUUCUGUUGAACCUAUACAAGUGGCGGGUCGGUACCAUUGGUUAGCAAGAUACAACAACUCUUUGAAGAUUUGGGAUUUGACUUUUGAAAUUGGUGUAUGGAUAUUGUAUUGUAUUCUUGAAUGGAUGUUUGGGAUGUAAUAAAGAUAUUUGGAUUUUGAAUAUGAUUUUUGUAUAAUUUUUGUAAUGAAGUGGGCUUUGUAAUUUGAAUGUCAAACUUUUCUUUUGUAGACCAAUGACCCAUGGAACAGAUGAAACUUGACUUAAUGAUGAAUACUUGCAUGAA